ensembl:lncRNA
AUGCUCCUGCAGAAGACGCUGCCCUGCGUUUGCACGGGCCUUGCUCUGGCGCGGCUGCCGGCGGGGAGGUUCUGCGGUGCCCGCGUCGCCUCGUCACCCUGGGGAAAUGAAAGACGUGAAGAAGUCGCAGUGGGCGCAACCUUAAAUCAGCAGCGAGCGUGGGAAGAGGAGCAUUGCUGUGCAGCCUCGGACGCAGGCGGUCCCCGCUGCCGCACACCCGCCCGGCGCGAGGGAGCUUCGCCAUGGAUGCUGGGCGGCCGGAGUAGAGGAGUCAGAAGCCUGGUGAGUCCGGAUGGGAGCGUGGAGUCAGCGGGAGCAGUGCCGGUGGAGCCCGCGCCUCGGUGCCUAGAAGACAUGCUAAGAUGCAGAUGAGAACGGAAAACAUGAGUCAGAGGAAGUCUUGGGCUCUCUCCUUUGGCGGGAGGAAUCACGGCUUAGUCAAGAGCUCAGGAGUCAGGUUUGCCCCACCGAGGCUGGGCGAGCAGCCCCCAGGGUGAACUUGGCCCAGAAGCUAUAACGGCUUGCAUACCUCAGCUGGAUUAACUUCUGCAUUGGGAAACACAAGCCUUAAAGCUUUGAAACUCUUUAUGAAAUAUGGCAGUAAAACAGAGAACCACCUAACUAAUCUCCAGCUGCCCUUUUUUACAAGGACGAAACCUUGUCCCUUCUCUUGGGAGGGACAGACAUUUAUUCCUGGUCUUCCUGGGGAUGCUUCCAGCUGUCAUGAUAAUUACCGGAGGUAAAUAUAGAUCAUAAGUGUUUUGACUCCUACCAGGUUUUUCUUUGAAAGUCCUGACCGAGAUGACAAUGUGGAGGAGGGAUGAUGAAUUCUUUUGGAAUUUAACCCUCUGGAGCUUGCUCGCGAGCUCUCUUGGGCGGGCUCGGGCAGCCUACAGCGUCUUGGAUUACUGCUGGAGUUUGCUUUUGUUCUGCUUGUGCGACAGUUAAAAAAAACCCUGCCGAUUAAACUUGAAACUUGAUACGUGUUUUGUACCUGCUGGAAACGUGCAUUAACAACUGAUCCGGGGGUCUGGGGAGAGAGUGUGGAGCCUGAGCUGGAGGAACUCGCAGGCCCUUGGGAAGAUGUGAGGAGAUGGGAAGGGAUGAGCCCGAUCGAGGUGAGGCUGGAGGGCUGUAAACCGUAUCCUAGCAGUCGCUCUUCCCCUCGGCAAACUGCUCUUCCCAAUAGGCCGAUCUGUAUUGGAACAGAAAACAAAUAUUUUUGUCGUUUCGAAAUGCUUCAGCAUGACACUACAUAACACUGGAUGGAAUGCACAUGGAGUUAAUUAUCCGCGGAUUCAAAGAACAUCCGAAUACAUCAGAUGAGGUGCUUUCUGCUGCAGAUUCUGUAAAAGAAAUGAACAUCAGGCGUCAAGUUCUGGCAUUCACUUUGGGGUGGAGAGUGGGGUUUAUUAAUAGCUGAUGUCUAUUUAAGGGCAGGCAAUUCUAAUAGCGUUAGUCCAUCUUCAAGAUCUCUAUUUUGGAUAAAAUUCUGCAGCUUUAUGACUGGCUUGUCUGUUUAGAUACAUUCACUAUCGCUUUUUGGGGUGGAUUUUAUCCACUAGGGAGCCGGUUAAUGCCCUUGGCAAGGCUGUAAGUGUUGAGUUGAACAGAGCCCUCCAGGAUCCUUGUUCGUUCUGCCGUUUGUAUUAACGUCCUGACUAAUGCUUGAUUCAUGAGUGCUGUUUUGAGGUUGUCUUGUGGUUGUGACAGCCUUGGCCCGACUUCCACUUCUGUCGCAGUCUCAUACCCGGCGUGAGCACAGGGAAGAAAAUUCCCCUGCUCUGGGUAAAGCUUCCCGGUCUGUAAAAUGGGGAUAAUUGUCUGCUUCAUGCUUCUUUUUUUUUUUUCCCCUGUGUAAGCUGUUUGUCCUGGCUCUUCAGCUGCUUAGGUUAAUUGUUUAAAGCUGCCGCUGUAAGGUGAUUUGGAAUUGGACAGAUUUGGCUGAGCCUGCGCGCGUGUCCCUUGGGCGAGGGCUGCUCUUGCGGGCGAUGCCGGGGGCCGCCGAAAUCCCGUCUCUUGGGCCGUAGCUGUUAGCAGCGCGGAGGACGCUGGCCACCCCCAGCUCGGCGACGUGACCUUCCUCCGCAGAGCGUUAAAAGAGGAAUACCGAGUUUCUCGUUUUGUAGAGCGGCGCAGACUUUGAUCCCCUCGUGCAGCACGAUGGGUUGUGGGAACGGCGUCGUGCGAGACAUGUCACAGCAGAGUAGCUUCCCCGUCAGGUUGCCCUGCAGCUCGGAAAGCGGUAGGUAGCGUUUCUUUUAAACGGCGCGCGUUAGCGAGCUGACGCAGAAGAGGACUGAUGCAUUGAAGCAGUUGCCCAUCGCAGCCCCUCUGUGUUCUCCGGCCUCCCACAACCAAAUAAAAACGAUACGGGGAGACCUUUCUCCUAGGAC